GACGAACGCUGGCGGCGUGCUUAACACAUGCAAGUCGAGCGGUAAGGCCCUUUCGGGGGUACACGAGCGGCGAACGGGUGAGUAACACGUGGGUGACCUGCCCUCAGCUCUGGGAUAAGCCUGGGAAACCGGGUCGAAUACCGGAUAUGACUCCAUGACGCAUGUUGUGGGGUGGAAAGCCUUGUGCGGCUGAGGAUGGGCCCGCGGCCUAUCAGCUUGUUGGUGGGGUGANGGCCUACCAAGGCGACGACGGGUAGCCGGCCUGAGAGGGCGACCGGCCACACUGGGACUGAGACACGGCCCAGACUCCUACGGGAGGCAGCAGUGGGGAAUCUUGCGCAAUGGGCGAAAGCCUGACGCAGCGACGCCGCGUGAGGGAUGACGGCCUGGU
rnacentral:rRNA from 1 species